AAAAACAGUUGUUUUUGAUUUUAGAUAUUCUUUUCAGUAUUUUUUAAUCAUGGUAUAUUUUCCAUCUAAGUUCAGAAUGGAGUUUUUCUACAAGUAUACAGCUUUAUAUUCGUGGCGAAAGGCGAAAUAAAAUAAGGAGAAGAAGGUGGAUUCACUAGACCACUGCGGCAGAUAGGUAUUUAACUUCCUAAUGAACCAUGGGAGUUCACUGCUAUAUACUCCAUGAAUAUUCAUUUGGCCAAUCCGUAAUAGAUACAUGAAAAUGAAUACAAAAAGUGCCUAUUUCAUUGAAAUUCCCAAAACAAAUCAAAAAGUAGCUGAACGUUACUCCCACAAAAUAAACAAGAUUGGAAGUUUUGAUCCAUACACCAUUUAAGCAAGAGAUUUACGAGGUUACAGUCCUGAUGGAAUAUGAUGAUAUUGUGGUUUUUCUAGUUUUCACAACUAGUUUUUAAACAAAUCAGCAAAUGAAAGCAUUCAAGCGCUUAUCAGCCUACAAAUGCUCGCAUUAUAUCUGGGUUUUGCUGUUUGAAACAAAAUAUUAUGUGAGAAGUUUUUCAAAAAAGGGUCAGUACAGAUGAAUUGGUGUACAUGUAAAGAAGGGAAUAAUGACCAUUUUAUGAUAAAAUGCUGCUAUGAGGCUUGUGAAAUAUACUGGAUCCGAUCCAUGCGGAAAGUGUUGGGCUGACCAUUGUUCCUGACCAUUCGUUCAGCAGCUUUUGUACAAGCAAUUAACACAUGGAACGAGUAUUUUUUUAAAAUGUAUAUACCUAAUAUGAUGUAAUGUGGUUGUAUUAAAUAAUCUCGAAUAGAUGCACUGUUCUAUACAAAAGGUGUAUUUACUAUAAAUAUAAAACAGAAACAAUAUGAAAAUAUAAUUGGUUCAAAAAUAGGAACAGUAUAAAAUUAUAUCCAGUAGAAAAAUAUACAGCAUAAAUAUAAUGAGGAUAGAAUAUAACCCAUAUAUUUGAAUAGCUCUUUCAAUAGCAUCCAAUAAUUUUAGUCGUCUCUUGUCUCGAGUCAUUUGAGUAAAACUUCUUAUCUUAUACUUUCUCUAUUUCUUCGACCAAAAUAUGCAAGAGGAUGGCAUAAUUCUUCAUUUCCUCCCAAAAUACUGCUUGACUUGCCCAAAUUA